rnacentral:misc_RNA from 1 species
GAGAUGCGAUAAGUAGUGUGAAUUGCAGAAUUCAGUGAAUCAUCGAAUCUUUGAACGCACAUUGUGCCCCUCGGUAUUCCGUGGGGCAUGCCUGUUCGAGCGUCAUCUACACCCUCAAGCUCUGCUUGGUGUUGGGCGUCUGUCCCGCCUCCGCGCGCGGACUCGCCCCAAAUGCAUUGGCAGCGGUUCCUUGCCCCCCUCUUUGCGCAGCACAUUGCCAUUCGAGGCGGCGGCGGCCCGCGUCCAACAAGCUCAACCCCCCCGUCUUUGACCUCGGAUCAGGUAGGGAUACCCGCUGAACUUAAGC